rnacentral:rRNA from 1 species
UACGGAGGGAGCUAGCGUUGUUCGGAAUUACUGGGCGUAAAGCGCACGUAGGCGGCUUUGUAAGUUAGAGGUGAAAGCCCGGAGCUCAACUCCGGAACUGCCUUUAAGACUGCAUCGCUUGAAUCCAGGAGAGGUGAGUGGAAUUCCGAGUGUAGAGGUGAAAUUCGUAGAUAUUCGGAAGAACACCAGUGGCGAAGGCGGCAUCCUGGACCGACACUGACACUGAGGAGCGAAAGCCAGGGGAGCAAACGGG